UCUUGACAUACCUGAGAACUUUCCAGAGAUGGAUUGGUGCCUUCGGGAACUCACAUACAGGUGCUGCAUGGCUGUCGUCAGCUCGUGUCGUGAGAUGUUGGGUUAAGUCCCGYAACGAGCGCAACCCUUGUCCUUAUUURCCAGCACGUWAUGSCGGGAACUCUAAGGAUACUGCCAGUGACAAACUGGAGGAAGGCGGGGACGACGUCAAGUCAUCAUGGCCCUUACGACCAGGGCUACACACGUGCUACAAUGGUCGGUACAAAGGGUUGCUACACUAGCGAUGUGAUGCUAAUCUCAUAAAGCCGAUCGUAGUCCGGAUUGGAGUCUGCAACUCGACUGCAUGAAGUCGGAAUCGCUAGUAAUCGCGAAUCAGAAUGCCACGGUGAAUACGUUCCCGGGUCUUGUACACACCGA
rnacentral:rRNA from 1 species